GUCAAUUUAGUUUAAACAAAACUUUUGCUUUGCACGCAAAAAAUGGGGUAAUCCCAAUUAACA
rnacentral:tRNA from 1 species